rnacentral:rRNA from 1 species
GAUGAACGCUGGCGGUACGUCUGACACAUGCAAGUCGAGCGACAAGGGGGCUUCGGCCCCUGGAGGAGCGGCGAACGGCUGAGUAACACGUAGGUACCUACCCCCCGGCUCGGGAUAACGGACCGAAAGGACCGCUAAUACCGGAUAUAUCCUUCGGGAGGAAAGGCUUGCCACCGGGAGAGGGGCCUGCGGCGUAUUAGCUUGAUGGUGGGGUAAAGGCCUACCAUGGCGAUGAUGCGUAGCUGGUCUGAGAGGACGAUCAGCCAGACUGGGACUGAGACACGGCCCAGACUCCUACGGGAGGCAG